CCACCCAUGAAUGAAUAAUCUACUGCACAUAGUUUAAGGUUUUACAGCAAAUAGUUUGGCAACCUACAUGUCAUUAUUCAACUUGCACGAUGCACCUUCUUCGCUUUCGAGCCUCCCAACCGUUUUUGUCAUAAUCCGGUUACCUGUUGACUAAAGGAGAAAGGAAUUCCAACUCUCUUUGAACCAUCGGCCAUCCUUUUACGAGAGUAACGGUCUUCUAACGGAGCAUAACCACUUGAGACCUGAUAACAGUUUGAACUGCUUGAAUUAAUACAUCUUGGCAACCAACAGCAUGCACACUUUCCACCUUUGGGCAUUGCAGUACUAAUUU
rnacentral:lncRNA from 1 species